AGUAGCUGCAUUUUUGGGAAUUGUUUUUCCUGAGAGAAGUUAUUUGUGCCAGUGUUGAACACAAGUGACCCCGAGCUGGCAGGAGCUGCUCAGCAAAGGGGUAAUUGCAGAGAGGGAGGUGCACAGUAACUCAUUGUCUGCUCAGUGUCUUCUGAAAAGCUGAAGUUUGCCUUCCAGUUCCAUCGAGGUGGUGGUUCCCCCAGGGAAUGCAGUGGGUGACUGGUGAGUGUUUGGGAGCUGGUGAGGAUCAGCAUCCCCAAAACCCAGGGAAGUGCUGGGAUGGCACAGGGAGCUGGUGAGGAUCAGCAUCCCCAAAACCCAGGGAAGUGCUGGGAUGGCACAGGGAGCUGGUGAGGAUCAGCACUGGGAGCUGGUGAGGAUCAGCACUGGGAUGGCACAGGGAGCUUUGCAGGACCGGUGCUGGGGAGGUUCCUGCUCUGGUUCUGUCUGUGAUUUAUCAGGAACAGUGUUGUGGCUCCAGUUCAGGGUGAUUGCUGCUCUGAGCACAGAGUGCUGUUCCUGCAGCGGGCUCGGGGCAGGCAGGCAGGGCCUCAUGACAAAUGGCACGAGAGGCUGCUCUAUUUAUACCCCGUGGCAUUUUAUGAGGGGAAGGUCAGCUCUUGUCUGCUGCAAAUAGCUUCUGAAAGUGCCUUUCCCGAGCCUGUGCUAUUUAUUUUGACAUUUCUUUUUUAAUUCCUUGUGCUCAACAUAGAACUUGAGUGGGCUCAGGCUGCCCUACCCUGCUUAACAGGUUUUAAGUUUCCAGAUGUAAAACGAUGAAUUCCACGGGGACGGGGCUGGAGAGGACUUUUACCCCUGGAUAAAUUGAACAAUGCAGUUAUUAACUUGUGGUUCUGUGUUAAUGGGGUUGUGCCGUGGCAGGGUGAGAGCUGGAGGCCAUCAGCUGCGUGGCUUUGUCACCUGCACCUUGGCAGAGUUUCUGUGGGGCCAUUUGGGCUCCAGCAGCACAUUAAAAAAAAAAAAGUUAAAUCAAAAAAGUUUAAAAAGUUAAAUGGUGAGAUUUGAUCCUUCCUGGGCCGGGAAUCCCCUUUGGAAUGCCGUGGGAUUCCAUGGAAUGGGGUGGGCUGGAAGGGAUCCCAGAGGCCAUCACAUCCCAGCCCCACCACGGGGCUUGCUUUCCACACCUGGACUGGUUCGGGGAUUUAACGAGGACAGGAGGGGAAGGCGGGGUUGUGAGGAGUUCCCAGAAAGGAGGAGAUGAGGGGAAGGCGGGUGGUGUGAGGGGUCCCAGUGCCAGGUAACAAUGAGGGGAAGGCAGGGGUUGUGAGGGGUUCCCAGAAAGGAGGACAAGAGGGGAAGGCAGGGGUUGUGAGGGGUUCCCAGUAAGGACAGGAGGGGAAGGCAGGGGUUGUGAGGGGUUCCUGUGCCAGGCGAGGAAGGCACAGGUUGUGAGGGGUUCCCAGAAAGGAGGAGAUGAGGGGAAUGCAGGUGGUGUGAGGGGUUCCCAGUAAGGAGGACAGGAGGGGAAGGCAGGGGUUGUGAGGAGUUCCCAGAAAGGAGGACAAGAGGGGAAGGCAGGUGAUGUGAGGGGUUCCUGUGCCAGGCGAGGAAGGCAGGGGUUGUGAGGGGUUCCCAGUAAGGAGGAGAUGAGGGGAAGGCAGGGGUUGUGAGGGGUU
ensembl:lncRNA